GAUGAACGCUGGCGGCGUGCCUAAUACAUGCAAGUCGAGCGAACGGACGAGAAGCUUGCUUCUCUGAUGUUAGCGGCGGACGGGUGAGUAACACGUGGAUAACCUACCUAUAAGACUGGGAUAACUUCGGGAAACCGGAGCUAAUACCGGAUAAUAUUUUGAACCGCAUGGUUCAAAAGUGAAAGACGGUCUUGCUGUCACUUAUAGAUGGAUCCGCGCUGCAUUAGCUAGUUGGUAAGGUAACGGCUUACCAAGGCAACGAUGCAUAGCCGACCUGAGAGGGUGAUCGGCCACACUGGAACUGAGACACGGUCCAGACUCCUACGGGAGGCAGCAGUAGGGAAUCUUCCGCAAUGGGCGAAAGCCUGACGGAGCAACGCCGCGUGAGUGAUGAAGGUCUUCGGAUCGUAAAACUCUGUUAUUAGGGAAGAACAUAUGUGUAAGUAACUGUGCACAUCUUGAUGGUACCUAAUCAGAAAGCCACGGCUAACUACGUGCCAGCAGCCGCGGUAAUACGUAAGUGGCAAGCGUUAUCCGGAAUUAUUGGGCGUAAAGCGCGCGUAGGCGGUUUUUUAGUCUGAUGUGAAAGCCCACGGCUCAACCGUGGAGGGUCAUUGGAAACUGGAAAACUUGAGUGCAGAAGAGGAAAGUGGAAUUCCAUGUGUAGCGGCGAAAUGCGCAGAGAUAUGGAGGAACACCAGUGGCGAAGGCGACUUUCUGGUCUGUAACUGACGCUGAUGUGCGAAAGCGUGGGGAUCAAACAGGAUUAGAUACCCUGGUAGUCCACGCCGUAAACGAUGAGUGCUAAGUGUUAGGGGGUUUCCGCCCCUUAGUGCUGCAGCUAACGCAUUAAGCACUCCGCCUGGGGAGUACGACCGCAAGGUUGAAACUCAAAGGAAUUGACGGGGACCCGCACAAGCGGUGGAGCAUGUGGUUUAAUUCGAAGCAACGCGAAGAACCUUACCAAAUCUUGACAUCCUUUGACAACUCUAGAGAUAGAGCCUUCCUCUUCGGGGGACAAAGUGACAGGUGGUGCAUGGUUGUCGUCAGCUCGUGUCGUGAGAUGUUGGGUUAAGUCCCGCAACGAGCGCAACCCUUAAGCUUAGUUGCCAUCAUUAAGUUGGGCACUCUAAGUUGACUGCCGGUGACAAACCGGAGGAAGGUGGGGAUGACGUCAAAUCAUCAUGCCCCUUAUGAUUUGGGCUACACACGUGCUACAAUGGACAAUACAAAGGGCAGCGAAACCGCGAGGUCAAGCAAAUCCCAUAAAGUUGUUCUCAGUUCGGAUUGUAGUCUGCAACUCGACUACAUGAAGCUGGAAUCGCUAGUAAUCGUAGAUCAGCAUGCUACGGUGAAUACGUUCCCGGGUCU
rnacentral:rRNA from 1 species